rnacentral:rRNA from 1 species
ACCUGAGUAGUAUUAGUUGUGUUCUUGAAACUUAAAGAAUUUGGCGGUAUCCUACUCCGUUCAGAGGAAUCUGUCUCGUUAUCGAUAGUCCGCGUUGGACCUUACUUAGGUUUAAUUUUGGUUUGUAUACCGCCGUUUAUUGAUUAUCUUUUUAGAGUGUCAUGAAUUUUCUGGUUUCUUUAAUUUGAUUUAUUGCAGGUCAAGGUGCAGCUUUUUCUAAGUGUAAUGAUGGAUUACAGUGUUAUGUGUUGUUUGGAUUGUUUGUUUGAAUAUUGGCAUGAAAUUGGAUUUGGUUGUAAUGUUUUGUAGAUUGUUUUCAUGAUAGUUGGCUCUAGGAUAUGUACACAUCGCCCGUCGCUCUCAUUUAAGUUUUUGAU